rnacentral:lncRNA from 1 species
UUUUGAAAUGUGAUUUUGAUAUGUGUGCAUCACUUAUUAUGGAAAAAAGUUAUUCCGAAAGUACUUGCAUUAUGCUAAACUUCAAUCUGACCGUACAUAACCGUUCCAUGUUCGGAUGUAUUGACAAAGUGAUAAGUAUGUACCCAUACAUAACUGUUACAUGUUCAGGUGUAUGGAAAAACACUCUGAUUUGUGUGCCCUAACCGAUUUGUGUUUGGGGGGUAGCAGUGUUUCAAAGUACUCAUGUAUGUCGUUUCGUGUUCGGGGGGUAGCAGUGUUUCAAGGUACUCAUAUAUGCUAUUUCGUAUUCGGAUACAUGGGGAACCAAUGAUAAGUAUCUAUGCCUAUGCAUAAUAUAUGGUAACUGAUUGAUCCUCUAUAAUAGUGAUUAAGUAUACAACAUGCAUCUAUUUUCUUAUUUGUGUUUUCGUCUUCUUAUUUGUAUCUGUUU